GAAACGUGUGUUGGGGAGGAUUCAAUGUCUGUUGAGAACCAUGUGAAUGUGCUACAAAGUGAGUAUCAGAAAACACCUCCAGACACCUGGACUGUCAAAGACCACACGGCAGGAACAUUCUCCUGGAGAUGCUGAGAAAGCACGGAAGGAAUGUCUGUGGAGGAUGUACUCAAAAAACACCCAUACUUAAGGACACCUGCUGGAGGGGACCCCUACUACACCCUUUCUUACCAUACAACUGAUGGAUACUGACUGGAAAAUGGCUAUCAUAGGCGGAGGGUUCAGUGUGGUGACAGAAGAUGGAAUAGACGUGUGCCAGUGCACCAGCCUUGGUGAAGCCUCUAUAACAGCCUUCUGUAUGGUUGACUGGAAGUAUGUCAGUCCAGAUGUGAGGAAGACAUACAGAGUGGAGUUGGAUGGCUGUGGAGUCAGCAGGUGUGAUGGCUGUGGAUGCAUCUACAAAAACACCACUGGAUACUGUAGCCAUGGAAAGAAGGGGGUAUUCACAACUUUCUAUUCAGACAAAGAGUUUGCUGGAUUCUGUUCUAUGGACUGCUACUACUGAAUGAAUGAAUGAGUGGUUUAUCUAUCUAUCUAUCUAUCUAUCUAUCUAAAUAUAUAUAUAUAUAUAUAUAUAUAUAUAUAUAUAUAUAUAUAUAUAUAUAUAUAUAUAUAUAUAUAUAUAUUUUUUUUUUUUUACUUGAAUUGGGGACUGAAACUGAAAGCUAAAUAAAUGUUUUAGUGGAUAAAGCUGUGUCUGUUUGAUUAUGUCACAUAACAUAAGGUUACUAAACUCUUCUGACUAAUUUUUAAAUUUUAUAAUUUAGUGGUUUUGUCAACUAUGUAUUUUUCUCUAUCAGGCAAAGCAUAUUUUUCGAGGAUAACACUUUACAAUAAGGUUUCAUUUGUUGGCACUGAUGUAUUAACUAACAUUAACUAUGAGCAAUACAUUUGAUACAGUAUUUAUUAAACUUUGUUAGUUAAUAAAAAUACAGCUGUUCGUUGUUUAUUCUUGUUAGUUCACUUCACAGUGCAUUAACUAAUGUUAACAAAUACAACUUUUGACUUUGAUUUAAGAACAGCUAGUGUGACUAACCGUGUUAAGAGACGUUUGUAUUCUCGAAAAAUAAUUGUAAUUUGUUUUUGAUUAUUGAUAAAUCAAGGCCUAAACUUGCGCUGGUGAUGACGUCAGUAACCCGCGCCAUGCAGAAGUUUUGAAGGUACUUUCAAAAGUAAUUUAAAAUAAUAUUCUUAAUAUCAUUAACGUCGUUUUUACCUUGGAAGAAUUAAAUUUGGUUUUAUAGGAUUAUGUUGAAUUUAUGGCUUCCUUUUAAUCUGCGAUUAAGAGUAUAUGGCUCGCCAGGUUUUUUUUUUUUUUUUAACAGCCAUCUUUCCACUGAUCUAUAAUCAUAUAUAUAGAUCAGUGCCAUCUUUCGUAUUACCUUUUGGCACGCCCCCUACCUUUCGUUUCACCAAUGAGAAACCUUUUGGCACGCCCCACACCUUUCGGCACGCCCCCACCUUUUGGCACGCCCAUUGCUCCAGGCUGCCUCCUUUUGGCACGCCAUUUCUUACCCCUACUUGGCACUGAUAUUGGGAUAUUAAAUUUUUAUUUGAAGAAAAGGGAUAUAUUUCAUUAACAAAAACAUUCUGGAUUACAAUAUUGGUUAAAUUUAUGUUAGUAAUAGAAACUCCAUUCACCAAAAGCUGAGGAAGACAAGGUGUUACAUUAUUUUGAGAUAAAUUACAAGACAUCUGAAUUAUAGAUUGUGGGAUAGCUUUGAUGAUGUUAUCAUAUUGUUUUCUGUCAAAUGAAUUAAAUUUGGAACUAAAAAUUUCAAAAGACAUUACUCCGGUAUGUCUAAAAUUUGCAUGACAGACCAUAUUCCUUUCUCCCACCACUUUUUGUAGAACAGGGAUUUGUUCCUGGAUACAACAUAUCUACAGUUCCAUAAAGGGACAUUAUGGGGACUGAAAUUAUGCUUAUAGAUCAUUUUCCAAUAAAGUAAAACCUGUUAAUGAAACACUGACUUAACAGAGAGUUUUUUAAG
ensembl:lncRNA